rnacentral:lncRNA from 1 species
UUCUGAGUCACUAAGUUCGUGAAAGCAGUCACAUGGCUGCUGGCUCAGUUGAGGAGAAUCAGGCAGAAGAAAGCAAGCAAUGGAUCUCCAGGCUGUACUGGUAAAAGGCUUGAUAAAGCUAAGGGGUCAGCAAAUAGCGUGCCGCUCCGAUCCGUCUCGCGCGCCACCAUAAGAACACAGCAUGCUUCACUUUGGGUUAAACCAAGACUCACCCCUGGUUUUCUAAGGAUGGGCACAACUGAGAAAAACACUUUGGGAUUUCCAGUUUUAGCCACACAGUUGAUGACAACGGUCCGCAAACAUCAAAUAGAAAGUCCUGGAAAUAAACCAUUCUGGAAUGGUUGCAAACUUCAUCCGAGGACUGGAGAG